GCCCUUUUCCGGUUGAUCCUGCCGGAAGUUACUGCUAUCGAGGUUCGACUAAGCCAUGCGAGUCGAAUGUAGCAAUACAUGGCGAACUGCUCAGUAGCACGUGGACAACCUGCCCUUAGGACGGGGAUAAACCCGGGAAACUGGGUAUAAUACCCGAUAGGUCUCGAUUGCUGGAAUGCAUCGAGAUUUAAAGCUCCGGCGCCUAAGGAUGGGUCUGCGGUCUAUCAGGUAGUAGUGGGUGUAGCGUACCUACUAGCCUACGACGGGUACGGGUUGUGAGAGCAAGAGCCCGGAGAUGGAUUCUGAGACACGAAUCCAGGCCCUACGGGGUGCAGCAGGCGCGAAAACUUUACAAUGCUGGCAACAGCGAUAAGGGAACCUCGAGUGCCAGGUUACAAAUCUGGCUGUCGAGAUGCCUAAAAAGCAUUUCAUAGCAAGGGCCGGGCAAGACCGGUGCCAGCCGCCGCGGUAACACCGGCGGCUCGAGUGGUAACCGUUAUUAUUGGGUCUAAAGGGCCUGUAGCCGGCCGGAUAAGUCUCUUGAGAAAUCUGGCAGCUUAACUGUCAGGCUUUCAGGAGAUACUGUCUGGCUCGAGGCCGGGAGAGGUGAGGGGUACUUCAGGGGUAGGGGUGAAAUCUUGUAAUCCUUGAAGGACCACCAGUGGCGAAGGCGUCUCACCAGAACGGACCUGACGGCAAGGGACGAAAGCUAGGGGCACGAACCGGAUUAGAUACCCGGGUAGUCCUAGCCGUAAACGAUACUCGCUAGGUGUCGGCCACGGUGCGACCGUUGUCGGUGCCGUGGGGAAGCCGUGAAGCGAGCCACCUGGGAAGUACGGCCGCAAG
rnacentral:rRNA from 1 species